rnacentral:rRNA from 1 species
UACGAAGGGGGGCUAGCGUUGUUCGGAAUUACUGGGCGUAAAGCGCACGUAGGCGGAUACUUAAGUCAGGGGUGAAAUCCCGGGGCUCAACCCCCGGAACUGCCUUUGAUACUGGGUAUCUCGAGUCCGGAAGAGGUGAGUGGAAUUCCGAGUGUAGAGGUGAAAUUCGUAGAUAUUCGGAGGAACACCAGUGGCGAAGGCGACUCGCUGGACAAGUAUUGACGCUGAGGUGCGAAAGCGUGGGGAGCAAACAGG